rnacentral:lncRNA from 1 species
GGGGGGUAUACCUAGAAUGUAAUCUCAGAGAACGCUGGCUGUGCACAAAGAUGUCCUGUGUCACGCAGGACUGAGAGGAAUUACUGAACAUGGAGAAGCAAAUGGUUGAGGUUUGUCUUACAGUAGCCAAUCAACCAAGUCUGAAAACAAAAUUAUCUCCCUAGUUGCUAGAAUUUUUUUAGCCAUUAAUCUGUUAUUCAGCUGAUUAUUGUGCACCAUACAAACACUUGAAACUCACUGCUGCAUUAAUUGCCCUUGUUCAGGAAAGGCCAUCAUUAGCUGCCUAGGGAAUGGCUCUCAAGUUCAUGUAACAACGUACAGUUAGAGCAGGAUACUGACAGUUCAUGGCCUGCUAGGCAAAAUGCCAGCUCACGGAAGCAGCUGAUCAUGCAAAGUUAAGUCAGAAUCUAAAUUUCUUCCUCUACUAAGGCCUUUCCCAUGUGAAACAGGGGACACCUGAGCAGCCACUGUCCUCCCUGCUUUGAAGGAACUGCCACUGGAAAUUCCUUAGCUCUCUGAGGAAUAUGGUUUGUGGCCUUGCAGAUCAUGACGUCAGUGCAAUAGGACAAUCAAAGCAGACCUGUUUCCAAAUCCUCCUGAUCACAAGCAGUGAGGCUAAUAAAGAAGAUCAUCAGCUGAGUAGGCAGAAGCAAAUAAGUUUCUCAUCAUUUCCUGUCAUCACCUGUGAUUUCUGAACCUCAGGAGCUUCAGAAAUUUGUUAUUAAUCUGGAGGAGAACAGGACAAUAGACCCAGAUGCUUGGGACAACACACCAGCUCUAUGUCCUUCCCCUGCAUCCUUGGCCAGUGAGGGUCCAUACAUGGACAAAGGUCUCCAAGGAGUGGCAAGGCAAAGACGUGGCCCAGGCCUUUAAAAAUCACCCAGGAUACUCCAUGCCUGCAGACCUAACCCAUCCUUCCCUUGGGAAAGUUCUAGACAGACCCUGGCAAGAAUUAACCUCUACAAAAGCCAGAACUCCCUUGACUCCAGCUUUUGAAGAUGAACUGUGCCCCUUCAUGGAAAGAGCUCCCUGGAAUGUACCACUGGAAACAAAUUCAGGAACCCUUGCCAUAUUUCUUACAUUUGAAUCCUGCUGGGUGCUUGUCCUUUCUGGUAUUUAGUGACAAUAAACUCCAUAUGCUAAUGGGGUAAUGGAGGACU